GUGCGAGACCGAUAGCGAACAAGUACCGUGAGGAAAAGAUGAAAAGAACUUUGAAAAGAGAGUUAAAGAGUACCUGAAACUGCUGAAAGGGAACCGGAUCGUUUCCAGUGUCUAUAAUCUGCGGCAUAUUUCAUUGGCGAGUGUGUGUAUGCGUGUGCUGUGGCAGCGGCUUUUUUGGCUGCGCUCGGUGCGUGUGUGCGUGUGCUUGCUGGUGCCCUGUGCUGUGGUGGGACGUCAAUGUCAGUUCGUAUGCUGCGGGAAAUGGCUGCUGAGGAGGUAGGGCUUGCGCUUUGCGUUUGUCUAUUAUAUCUUGGCGGACGAGUCGUCGCGGUUGGGACUGAGGGCCUAC
rnacentral:rRNA from 2 species